rnacentral:rRNA from 1 species
ACUCCUACGGGAGGCAGCAGUGGGGAAUAUUGGACAAAGGGCGAAAGCCUGAUCCAGCCAUGCCGCGUGUGUGAAGAAGGUCUUCGGAUUGUAAAGCACUUUAAGUUGGGAGGAAGGGCAGUAAAUUAAUACUUUGCUGUUUUGACGUUACCGACAGAAUAAGCACCGGCUAACUCUGUGCCAGCAGCCGCGGUAAUACAGAGGGUGCAAGCGUUAAUCGCAAUUACUGGGCGUAAAGCGCGCGUAGGUGGUUCGUUAAGUUGGAUGUGAAAUCCCCGGGCUCAACCUGGGAACUGCAUUCAAAACUGACGAGCUAGAGUAUGGUAGAGGGUGGUGGAAUUUCCUGUGUAGCGGUGAUAUGCGUAGAUAUAGGAAGGAACACCAGUGGCGAAGGCGACCACCUGGACUGAUACUGACACUGAGGUGCGAAAGCGUGGGGAGUAAACAGGAUUAGAUACCCUGGUAGUCCCCUCCGUAAACGAUGUCAACUAGCCGUUGGGAGCCUUGAGCUCUUAGUGGCGCAGCUAACGCAUUAAGUUGACCGCCUGGGGAGUACGGCCGCAAGGUUAAAACUCAAAUGAAUUGACGGGGGCCCGCACAAGCGGUGGAGCAUGUGG